UACGUAGGGGGCAAGCGUUGUCCGGAUUUAUUGGGCGUAAAGAGCUCGUAGGCGGUUUGUCGCGUCUGCUGUGAAAACUGGAGGCUCAACCUCCAGCCUGCAGUGGGUACGGGCAGACUAGAGUGCGGUAGGGGAGAUUGGAAUUCCUGGUGUAGCGGUGGAAUGCGCAGAUAUCAGGAGGAACACCAAUGGCGAAGGCAGAUCUCUGGGCCGUAACUGACGCUGAGGAGCGAAAGCAUGGGGAGCGAACAGG
rnacentral:rRNA from 1 species